UUCCCGGUUAAGUCAGAACGCUAGCUAUUGUUAACUUAGCUAACUAGUAAUAUCAGUGUUAGGGUAUGUUGUUGAGAUGUAGAUAAGAAAGCUAUAUUAAUAAAUCUAGAUGGUUAAAACCCCUUCAUAUCCUUAACUUGGUCAUUUAAAAAUGUCUAGAUGUAUUGGUUUUAUUAGCGGUCACGACCAUCUGAUUUGCCAGGCCAGAACAGUAAGGGUUCAUGGCCGAGGUCGAGUAUGAUGAGUGACUGUGUGUGACCUGACCUAUGAUGGCUAGCAAGUCAUUACUCAUUACUUAUGACUGCAGGUGUCACCAAGUCGGCUCCUCAGAUUUUCUUUGGUUUUCUUCAGAGGCAGCUUGUCAGACUCUUUAAUCCACAUUAGAACCUGGCACUGAGCUUUAAAGCCAUCCAAGCGCGCUGUUGAGUCUCUCCUGCUGCAAGUCUGUGUCAGUACACAAGAGUGUAGUGGAUGUAUACAGUGGCUCUACAUUUCGAGAGUUGUUUUGGACGUUGAUAAUAUUGGGUUUACUUGAUGUCACUUUUAGAUCCAUUUUACAUUUGGUUUCUGAAUUCAGUGUAUAUUUCAGAUGGAGCUUUUUAUUUUUCAGUGUGGUCAUCUGGUCAAGUAGUGCUGUUCAAUCAGUGAAAAGUAAAGAACGCUGAAGAAUUGGAGAAAGGUUGAGGCCGGACACAGGGAUGGAGCAGGACAUUACUGCACUGGAACUGGGAGAAGUGCGCAAGAUACAUGAAUUAGUGCGGAGAAUGGAAAUUGAAAAUUAAGCUCUAAGCAAGAGGCAAAGAAAUAUCAACACCAACAACCAGGCUCUCUCUGGUGGGCUCAUCAGCUGUCCCUCUUCGCUGGAGGAACGUCAAAAUGUAUGUGAUUUGCUGGACCCUGAACCAGCGGAGGUUAGCGGUGGAGAUGGUAUAUCUCCAUCUCCUCUUGAAAGCCCCAGAGAGAAACUAGUGGGGCAGGAUGCACACAUAUAUGAUGGCUGUUAUGCACACUUGCCCCACAGUGACAUGUUGGAGGAGACACACUGGCAGGGAUGCAUGGGGUCAGAGGAGCUGGUAGACAGGGACACAGAGAAGGGAGCAGAGCAGUCUGCUCUCGACCUGGUGGACCUCCUGGACCUAGAGGAGGGCUGUGAGCUGGAGAAUGAAGAGAGCUGGUUAUAUGAGUCACCCAAGAAACAGGCAUCUGCUGAAAGAAGCGAUAGGUCACCUAUAAAGUGGUGCAGACGGGUUCUGGACAACCCCAGCCCUGAAACAGGUGGCAUGUCACACACUAAUUGAUAUCCUGGACCAAAAGACAAGAUGGAGGAGUAUCUUUCGCAGUCCCUUCCACAGACAUCCUGUAGCCUUUCCUGACACUGGCUAUCUUUGCAUGGGCUCACCUUCCACUCUGUACCACAGAUCAACUAACAGAAGUCAACAAACCAAUAAACCUAACAGCUCAUGUAGGAUAACAAUGAUGCUAGUUUACCACCCUGCAUGGAUGAGAAUGAGCCAAGUGUCUCAGAUGACUCCAUCACCAUGGGCUACAGGCUGCAGGACCUCACUGACAUCCAGGUCAUGGCUCGCAUGCAGGAGAAGAGUUUAAGACAGGACUAUUCCUCCAUCCCUGCUGCUGCCACACCAUUCAGGAGUGUUGGUACAGCCAUGCUGUCACCUUGUAAUUAUGGCUACAGUGAUCUGGAGUUCGACAAGUAUAGUCUGGAGGACACAGUCGCAUACACACCUCUUCCCAGCCAGCUGCCCCACUACCGGCUCUCUCCAUUGGGCCAGUCAUCCAGAUCCAUAGCCCAGCCUGGUCACAGCAGCCAGCUGCCGAGGCCACCACUCAAUCUAAGCUGCUUAAACUCGCAAAGAGCAUAGGUAAAAAGAGCACCUGAAUAGAAAAUCCAAUUUGACACACAAAUUCACAUAUUGACUUUUACUUGAAAACAAAAACAAAUCGACACUACCAGUUUAACAUGAUCUGCUAUGUGUGUUUGACCGAUUGUAUAUGUGAAAUGGGAGUUGACCCAGAUGUAGGUUGUUGUUGUAGAAGAGCUGAAAAGCUACAUGCCCAACGUGGAUUUACCAUCUCCUCGCACCAGCCUCCACUCCCUACAGGCAGUCAGGAACAGCCGCAUCCUGGAGGCUAACGGCCACAAACCACCCCACCUCCCGCUUGACCCUUAUCACAGGUUCUACCAGGUCUCCACCUGGUGGGUUAGUAUUUUAUUAGGGAGAGCAUAUACCAAACCAUAAUGUCUAUACACACCAUCAUGUACAUAUAUAUUUAUAUUUUGGACUAUGACAUUUUUUAUUCUGAUAUUUUUGGGAUAUUGUUAGGUAUUACUGCACUGUUGGAGCUAGAAACUGAAGCAUUUCACUGCACCUGCGAUAACGUCUGCAAAAUAUGUGUACACCACCAAUAAAAUUUGAUUGCAUUUCAGCAAGCGUAUAUAAAUCCAUAGGAAUUGAAUUUUGUACUUGCUUUUAUUUCAUACACAUGUUUAGGCCAUAAUAUUUCCAAACUUAUGAUUACCUCCUACAGUAGGUGCGUCUUCAGUCAAGCUUGGGAGUGGUGGCCGAUCUUCAUUUGUCCCUGCCAAAACCUUGAGCUCAAGUGACCCUGCGACUGGAGCAGUAAGCCAGUCCCUGAGAGAAUUAUUUCAGGCCUCUUCCAUCAGAGGGCUGCAGAGACCCCAGUCCCUUAGCCCCGCUGGUUUGAGGAACCCCUGUCCCAGUAAGGACCUCUCAGUUGGAGAGUACCUGUCAAGUCAUGGUCGUGUCUAUGCCUCCCCUGAGAGAUCCACUACCCUGGCUUGGGACAGAAUGGGGCAGCCUGCCAAUGCACGUAGGCAAAACGGUGUACUCAACAUCCCUUAGUAAUCUGUAACAAACUCUCACUCAAAAUAAUUUCACUUAAUGUAUUAAAGUACAUUAAACAGUAGGUUUGAUUUCUGUGCAUUUCAAUUGAGUUGUAAUUUUCUUCUGCCGAUCAUACAGUACUGAUUUAUUUAGUAUGGCUUCACAAUCCCUUCCACUGGAACUGGACACAUCCCUCCUUUCUCAGUUAUAAAUGCAAUGUGCUGCACAAUGCUAAAUUCCAAACGACCUCCAACAAAUCAAUCUUAAUUUGAUUCAAAUGUUUUGAUUUGACACACAAAUACACAUACUUAGAACUGAUACAGUAUAUAAUUAUUAACAUAAAGUAUCACACAGGCCUCGGUCAUAAAACACCAUCCUUUUCUGCAUACUACUUUUACACUGGUUUACAUGUAAAUGUCUUCCUCAAUCACUCCAGUACCCCUGCACAUUGAAAUAAUGG